rfam:Lupinus angustifolius cultivar Tanjil chromosome LG15, whole genome shotgun sequence.
AGCUGCGAUCAUACCAACAUUAAUGCAGCGGAUCCCAUCAGAACUCCGCAGUUAAACGAUCUUGGGCGAGAGUAGUAAUGGGAUGGAUGACCUCCUACGAAGUCCUCGUGUUGCACCUC